CUUUAACAACUCGCUGAGCCUGCCUGUCUUCAUUAUUUUUCAUUAUGUAGAGAUUUUGUUUCAUUUCUUGUGUGUAUAUUAGACUUGGGGAAAGCAAAUUAUCUUUCCAAUCUGCUAGUCCUCUCUGCUUUUUUCCCACACCUGACGUGGAGUUUCCUGACCACGUGUCUUCAUUCCACACCACCUGAGCAAGACUCGAGACUCGGCUUUUCUUCUUCCGCAUUUUCAAGUCAGGCCUCUGCCGCGCUGCCACGGAGAGCCUGUGGCCAGCGCCGGCUGCCCGGCCGAGACACCCUCUUCUCUCCCCGGUGGAUCUGGGGCAACUUAAAAAGACUCUGUGGUUCAGAGCUUCUUUGCGUCGCGCUUGGCUGCGGCUCUUACCGCACCUCCUGUCCGAGUGAGCAGGACCCCCGGAGUCCCCCCCCGAGACUUGCAGAUGGACGGACUGCUCUCAGAAUGGAACCAGAAUGCCGAGUCCCUGCAUCCUAGAGUUCUCCGGAGAUGUGUGAGCUUGUUGUGCGGCCGGCAGUAGCCGUGCCUGCGGCUGGCUGGCCGAGUGACAGCGACACCGCGUCUGGAAGCCCCACUGGAUUGUGAAAUGAACAAGGCCCUCCUUGCCCCCAUCAGGGCCGGAGAGCCCCGGGGCUCCUGGAACAGCAUGCCCCGCUCCUAAAGAGCUGACAUAUAUCCUGCCUUUAAGACAAGACUACAAUUGCAAAUCCGAG
rnacentral:lncRNA from 1 species